ensembl:lncRNA
GAUUAGCUCUCCUGCUGGGUGUUAUGAAUGCUCAAUGACUGGUCAGUGAUGGUGACGUUAGCCUGAUGUACCAUUUCACUGACUGGGAACCGUAUAUUGAAGCCCUGAAAAGGAUGCAGUAUGAACCAUGUGGGCCUUUGAUUGACAUCACCAUCAUCUCUGGGGUGCUUAAUGAAGUUCAUCUGCCACAUUUCGCCUGUUUAGGAUCAAGCCCCUCCCUUAAUGACCAGGUCAGAGUGCUGGAUGUGCAGGACAGUGGAAUGUUCUUGGAGACAUGUGAGCUCACUCGCUUCCAUGCCAAGCUUCUCCACCCCACCUUCUCACCUAAAGGCUUUCUUGUCCGAACUGGAUUCCCGAAGUGAAAGUUCACUGUGAAGUGCUGACCUAUCGAACCUUAAUUGCUUACCUGACCCUUCACAUAUAUUUGGUGCCUUGCGAUGCAAAAAUUAUACAGGAUGUGGACAAAAAGGAGCAGGAGGACACAGUGAAAAUUCCAAAACCAGGACCGGAAAGGUCCCUAACAAUGAGGAGCUGGUACAAAAUUGAAACAAAGAAAGAAAAUGAAUACUUUUCUUCCAAAAUUAAACCUGAGAGGUUAAAGCUGAGAUACUCCCCUAUCAAGUACUCUGAGGUAUACAUAAAAAAUGCAAAAGAUGACUUUGAGCUGCACUUGAUAAAUGAGGAGAAAAAAUCAAUAUGGGAUGUAGAAAUUCGAGCAGGUAAUUUCAACAACAUACAGGUUCUAUGUAAAGAUACUGUACAUUGUACAGUUACUGUUUGUCAUAAUUAUUUGAGUUUUUUCACACAAUUCCAUAUAAGACAAAAUACAGUGUUUAAAUGAUCAUUUCACUUAAAAAGAAACAGAUCCAAGAUCAACUGCCCCUUUAUCUACUCAAGCAACCAAUUAACAUAAUUAUGUAGAUAUUUUAUUGGUAUCAAUUUAACUAAACAUACCCAAGCUUAAUUACUGUGAGUGCUGUUGAAUCAAAACACUUAAAUACCUCCUAUCCAACAAUAUGAAGUAAGCUAAAAGGUCCCAUAAGCAACAAACCAUGCCUCUGUCAAAAGGAGAUGAGAAGAAAAGCUAUUAAAAUUUUAUUCUUAAAAGGAUUGCAAAGUCAUUUCUAAGGUUCUGUGACUCUGGUGAACCACAGUGAGAACCAUUAUCUUCAGUAAGAGAAAAUGUACAACAGUGGUGAAUCUUCCCAGAGGUGUUCAGCCUACCAAAAUUCCUCCAAGAGCACAACGAUGUCACAAAAGAACCCAGAGGAACAUCUGAGGAAGUUCAAGUCUCAUUCGCCUCAGAGUAUGUUAGUGUUCAUGAUUACACUAUCAGAAAAAACGGGACAAAAAUGGUACGAUGGGAGAGUUACAAGGUGAAAAACACUGCUAAACAAAAGUAACAUAAAGGCUCAUCUUACAUUUGCCAAAAACACCUUGAUGACCCAAAGCCUUUUGGAGUAAUCUCCUUUGGGCUGAUGAGUUGAACUUUUGGAAAGACAGGGGUCAAGUUACAUCUGGCAGAAUGCUUACACAGUUUUCCACAAGAAGAACAUUACACCAACAGUAAAACAUGGUGGUGGUAGUGUGAUGGUGUGGGGAUGCUUUGCUGUUUCUGGACAAUUUGCCUUAAUUGAUGGAACCAUGAAUUAUGCUGUCUAUUACAACUGAAAUAAAGCAAUUCUACAAGAAAUUCCUCACAGCAAUAUGAAAGACUGAUCUUUAGUUAUGGGAUGAAUUUGGUUGGUGCUAAAUGUGGCAUAAUCAGGUAUUACGUUGGGAUGGGAUGAUUACUUUUUCACAUACAGGUGGUACAGGUCAUGCAAAACUAUUGCUUUAAUAAAUUAUAUGAUCAUUUAACAAUUGUUUUUCUUUGUCUUAUAUUUUAAAUCAGGAGGAUGUAAAUAUUUUUUCACAGC